UACGGGAGGCAGCAGUGGGGAAUAUUGCACAAUGGGCGAAAGCCUGAUGCAGCUAUGCCGCGUGUAUGAAGAAGGCCUUAGGGUUGUAAAGUACUUUCAUCGGGGAGGAAAAACAAAACUAAUAAUUUUAUUUCUUGACGUUACCCGAAAAAGAAGCACCGGCUAACUCCGUGCCAGCAGCCGCGGUAAUACGGAGGGUGCUAGCGUUAAUCAGAAUUACUGGGCGUAAAGAGCACGUAGGUGGUUUUUUUAAAGUCAGAUGUGAAAUCCCUGGGCUUAACCUAGGAACUGCAUUUUGAAACUGAAAUACUAGAGUAUCGUAGAGGGAGGUAGAAUUCUAGGUGUAGCGGUGAAAUGCGUAGAUAUCUGGAGGAAUACCUGUGGCGAAAGCGGCCUCCUAAACGAAUACUGACACUGAGGUGCGAAAGCGUGGGGAGCGAAACAGGGAUUAGAUACC
rnacentral:rRNA from 1 species